UACGUAGGGGGCAAGCGUUGUCCGGAAUUAUUGGGCGUAAAGCGCGCGCAGGCGGUCUCUUAAGUCUGAUGUGAAAUCUCGCAGCUUAACUGUGAGCGGUCAUUGGAAACUGAGGGACUUGAGGACAGGUGAGGAGAGUGGAAUUCCGAGUGUAGAGGUGAAAUUCGUAGAUAUUCGGAAGAACACCAGUGGCGAAGGCGGCUCACUGGCCCGUUACCGACGCUCAGGCGCGACAGCGUGGGGAGCAAACAGG
rnacentral:rRNA from 1 species